AGAGUUUGAUCGUGGCUCAGGAUGAACGCUGGCGGCGUGCCUAAUACAUGCAAGUCGAGCGAACUGAUUAGAAGCUUGCUUCUAUGACGUUAGCGGCGGACGGAUGAGUAACACGUGGGCAACCUGCCUGUAAGACUGGGAUAACUUCGGGAAACCGGAGCUAAUACCGGAUAGGAUCUUCUCCUUCAUGGGAGAUGAUUGAAAGAUGGUUUCGGCUAUCACUUACAGAUGGGCCCGCGGUGCAUUAGCUAGUUGGUGAGGUAACGGCUCACCAAGGCAACGAUGCAUAGCCGACCUGAGAGGGUGAUCGGCCACACUGGGACUGAGACACGGCCCAGACUCCUACGGGAGGCAGCAGUAGGGAAUCUUCCGCAAUGGACGAAAGUCUGACGGAGCAACGCCGCGUGAGUGAUGAAGGCUUUCGGGUCGUAAAACUCUGUUGUUAGGGAAGAACAAGUACGAGAGUAACUGCUCGUACCUUGACGGUACCUAACCAGAAAGCCACGGCUAACUACGUGCCAGCAGCCGCGGUAAUACGUAGGUGGCAAGCGUUAUCCGGGAUUAUUGGGCGUAAAGCGCGCGCAGGCGGUUUCUUAAGUCUGAUGUGAAAGCCCACGGCUCAACCGUGGAGGGUCAUUGGAAACUGGGGAACUUGAGUGCAGAAGAGAAAAGCGGAAUUCCACGUGUAGCGGUGAAAUGCGUAGAGAUGUGGAGGAACACCAGUGGCGAAGGCGGCUUUUUGGUCUGUAACUGACGCUGAGGCGCGAAAGCGAGGGGAGCAAACAGGAUUAGAUACCCUGGUAGUCCACGCCGUAAACGAUGAGUGCUAAGUGUUAGAGGGUUUCCGCCCUUUAGUGCUGCAGCUAACGCAUUAAGCACUCCGCCUGGGGAGUACGGUCGCAAGACUGAAACUCAAAGGAAUUGACGGGGGCCCGCACAAGCGGUGGAGCAUGUGGUCUAAUUCGAAGCAACGCGAAGAACCUUACCAGGUCUUGACAUCCUCUGACAACUCUAGAGAUAGAGCGUUCCCCUUCGGGGGACAGAGUGACAGGUGGUGCAUGGUUGUCGUCAGCUCGUGUCGUGAGAUGUUGGGUUAAGUCCCGCAACGAGCGCAACCCUUGAUCUUAGUUGCCAGCAUUUAGUUGGGCACUCUAAGGUGACUGCCGGUGACAAACCGGAGGAAGGUGUGGAUGACGUCAAAUCAUCAUGCCCCUUAUGACCUGGGCUACACACGUGCUACAAUGGAUGGUACAAAGGGCUGCAAGACCGCGAGGUCAAGCCAAUCCCAUAAAACCAUUCUCAGUUCGGAUUGUAGGCUGCAACUCGCCUACAUGAAGCUGGAAUCGCUAGUAAUCGCGGAUCAGCAUGCCGCGGUGAAUACGUUCCCGGGCCUUGUACACACCGCCCGUCACACCACGAGAGUUUGUAACACCCGAAGUCGGUGGAGUAACCGUAAGGAGCUAGCCGCCUAAGGUGGGACAGAUGAUUGGGGUGAAGUCGU
rnacentral:rRNA from 1 species